CCCUUAGAUGUCCGGGGCUGCACGCGCGCUACACUGAAGGAAUCAGCGUGCUAAAACCAUUGUCGAAAGGCAUUGGUAAACCCAUUAAAAUCCUACGUGAUUGGGAUCGGGAAUUGCAAUUAUUUCCCUUGAACGAGGAAUUCCCAGUAAGUGUGGAUCAUAAGCUCGCGUUGAUUACGUCCCUGCCCUUUGUACACACCGCCCGUCGCUGCCCGGGACUGAGCCGUUUCGAGAAAAGCGGGGACUGCUGCUGUCGGGGCUUUCGGGCCUUGGCUUCGGUGGAAACCGCUUUAAUCGCAGUGGCUUGAACCGGGCAAAAGUCGUAACA
rnacentral:rRNA from 1 species